AGGUGUUCAUGCAGAAGUCCAGCAAAGUGAAGUCGCUGUACUGUUUUGUUUUUAUUUUAAACAGUUAUGGGAGAAUAAAUCCGCCCAGCUGGCAAAGUGAGAGCUGACUCCUCUGGUCAUUCAUACAACACAACGCAGAGAACUAACGGCAAUCAGAGUUUAAGGCCAGACCGGCUACAGUAGCACCUUUGCUCAGGUGUAAUUGGUUGCAAGUGUGGUGUAAACAAAAAAGUAUACCCACUGUCACCAAGCAAUAAUCCAGUAUGAUCUCCUCACUCAUCAAAUCCAGCUGUGCACCUAACUGCCCACAACAUAGCACUGUGGGUAAGGACCAGCACAGUCACAGCACUCGUCUCUGCACCAAGUAAUCAUAAACAUCUGCAGUGCUGAAACUACAGAAAAACAAUAUAUGUAAUAGACAAGCACUGGUUGUGAGAAAUAGUCCAGUGCUCCAGCUCAGAAAUGAACACUUCUCCAAAUCUAUCGAUGUGUUAAACAAUUUUUAGCAUUUAUAUCAUUAACACUUUUCUUCUGUACAUGGACAUUUCCACUUUUUAAACAUUUUUUUCCUGCUGUGAAAAAAUGUACUUGUGCUUCCUGAUUUCUUAGUUUUUGUGCAUAUUUGUCACACUUCCAUGUUACAGAUGAUUAAACAAAUUUUAAUAUCAG
ensembl:lncRNA